rnacentral:rRNA from 1 species
CAGGCUUAACACAUGCAAGUCGAGGGGCAGCAUGGUCUUAGCUUGCUAAGACUGAUGGCGACCGGCGCACGGGUGAGUAACACGUAUCCAACCUGCCGUCUACUCUUGGACAGCCUUCUGAAAGGAAGAUUAAUACAAGAUGGCAUCAUGAGUCCGCAUGUUCACAUGAUUAAAGGUAUUCCGGUAGACGAUGGGGAUGCGUUCCAUUAGAUAGUAGGCGGGGUAACGGCCCACCUAGUCUUCGAUGGAUAGGGGUUCUGAGAGGAAGGUCCCCCACAUUGGAACUGAGACACGGUCCAAACUCCUACGGGAGGCAGCAGUGAGGAAUAUUGGUCAAUGGGCGAGAGCCUGAACCAGCCAAGUAGCGUGAAGGAUGACUGCCCUAUGGGUUGUAAACUUCUUUUAUAACGGAAUAAAGUCGGGUAUGCAUACCCGUUUGCAUGUACUUUAUGAAUAAGGAUCGGCUAACUCCGUGCCAGCAGCCGCGGUAAUACGGAGGAUCCGAGCGUUAUCCGGAUUUAUUGGGUUUAAAGGGAGCGUAGAUGGAUGUUUAAGUCAGUUGUGAAAGUUUGCGGCUCAACCGUAAAAUUGCAGUUGAUACUGGAUAUCUUGAGUGCAGUUGAGGCAGGCGGAAUUCGUGGUGUAGCGGUGAAAUGCUUAGAUAUCACGAAGAACUCCGAUUGCGAAGGCAGCCUGCUAAGCUGCAACUGACAUUGAGGCUCGAAAGUGUGGGUAUCAAACAGGAUUAGAUACCCUGGUAGUCCACACGGUAAACGAUGAAUACUCGCUGUUUGCGAUAUACUGCAAGCGGCCAAGCGAAAGCGUUAAGUAUUCCACCUGGGGAGUACGCCGGCAACGGUGAAACUCAAAGGAAUUGACGGGGGCCCGCACAAGCGGAGGAACAUGUGGUUUAAUUCGAUGAUACGCGAGGAACCUUACCCGGGCUUAAAUUGCAGAUGAAUUACGGUGAAAGCCGUAAGCCGCAAGGCAUCUGUGAAGGUGCUGCAUGGUUGUCGUCAGCUCGUGCCGUGAGGUGUCGGCUUAAGUGCCAUAACGAGCGCAACCCUUGUUGUCAGUUACUAACAGGUUCCGCUGAGGACUCUGACAAGACUGCCAUCGUAAGAUGUGAGGAAGGUGGGGAUGACGUCAAAUCAGCACGGCCCUUACGUCCGGGGCUACACACGUGUUACAAUGGGGGGUACAGAGGGCCGCUACCACGCGAGUGGAUGCCAAUCCCCAAAACCUCUCUCAGUUCGGACUGGAGUCUGCAACCCGACUCCACGAAGCUGGAUUCGCUAGUAAUCGCGCAUCAGCCACGGCGCGGUGAAUACGUUCCCGGGCCUUGUACACACCGCCCGUCAAGCCAUGGGAGCCGGGGGUACCUGAAGUGCGUAACCGCGAGGAGCGCCCUAGGGUAAAACUGGUGACUGG